GAUGAACGCUGGCGGCGUGCCUAAUACAUGCAAGUCGAGCGAACAGACGAGAAGCUUUCUCCUCUGACGUUAGCGGCGGACGGGUGAGUAACACGUGGAUAACCUUCCUAUAAUACUGGGAUAACUUCGGGAAACCGCAGCUAAUACCGGCUAAUAUGUUGAAUCGCUUGGUUCAACAGUGCAAGACGGUCUUGCUGUCACUUAUAGAUGGAUCCGCGCCGCCUUAGCUAGUUGGUAAGGUCAAGGCUCACCAAGGCAACGAUGCGUAGCUGACCUGAGAGGAUGAGCAGCAACAGUGGAACUGAGACAGGGUCCAGACUCCUAAGGGAGGAAGAAGUGGGGAAUAUUGGACAAUGGGCGCAAGACUGAUCCAGCCAUACCGCGUGGGUGAAGAAGGCCUUCGGGUUGUAAAGCCCUUUUGUUGGGAAAGAAAGGCAGCAGGUUAAUACCCCGCUGUUCUGACGGUACCCAAAGAAUAAGCACCGGCUAACUUCGUG
rnacentral:rRNA from 1 species